CCUACGGGAGGCAGCAGUGGGGGAUAUUGCACAAUGGGGGGAACCCUGAUGCAGCGACGCCGCGUGGGUGAAGGAGUGCUUCGGCAUGUAAAGCCCUAUCGGCAGGGAAGAAGCAAGACGGUACCUGACUAAGAAGCCCCGGCUAACUACGUGCCAGCAGCCGCGGUAAUACGUAGGGGGCGAGCGUUAUCCGGAUUCACUGGGUGUAAAGGGAGCGUAGACGGCCAUGCAAGCCAGGGGUGAAAGCCCGGGGCCCAACCCCGGGACUGCCCUUGGAACUGCAUGGCUGGAGUGCGGGGGGGGCAGGGGGAAGGCGGGGUGGAGGGGGGAAAGGGGAAGAAAUCAGGGGGAACGCCGGCGGGGAAGGCGGCCUGCUGGACCGCGAGGGACGUUGAGGCUCGAAGGCGUGGGGAGCGAACAGGAGUAGAUACCCCAGUAGUC
rnacentral:rRNA from 1 species